rnacentral:rRNA from 1 species
CCUACGGGUGGCAGCAGUGAGGGAUAUUGGUCAAUGGGCGGAAGCCUGAUCCAGCCAAGCAGCGUGCGGGAUGACGGCCCUCCGGAUGGUAAACUGCUUUUAUACGGGAGUAGCGCGCCUUACGUUUAGGGCUAUGCAUGUGCCGUAUGCGUAAGAGCCGGCUAAUUCAGUGCCAGCAGCCGCGGGUAUACGGAAGGUCCGGGCGUUAUCCGGAUUUGUUGGGUUUAAAGGGAGCGUAGGCCGCAUGUCAAGCGUGCUGUGAAAUGUCCGGGCUCAACCCGGGCAUUGCAGGGGGAACUGGAGGGCUGGAGUCCGCGGAAGGCAGGCGGAAUUCGUGGUGUAGCGGUGAAAUGCUUAGAUAUGACGAAGAACCCCGAUGGCGAAGGCAGCUUGCUGCAGCGGAACUGACGUUGAUGCUCGAAAGCGUGGGGAUCGAACAGGAUUAGAUACCCGAGUAGUC